rnacentral:rRNA from 1 species
GAUGAACGCUGGCGGCGUGCCUAAUACAUGCAAGUCGAGCGAACGGACGAGAAUCUUGCUUCUCUGAUGUUAGCGGCGGACGGGUGAGUAACACGUGGAUACCCUAUCUAUAAGACUGGGUUCACUUCGGGAAACCGGAUAUAAUACAGGCUCAUCUUUUGAACCGCAUGGUUCAUAAGAGCAAGCAGGUUUUGCUGUCACUUUUAGAUGUAUCCUCGCUGGAUUGGCUAGUUGGUAAGGUAACGGCUUACCAAGGCAACGAUGCAUAGCCGACCUGAGAGGGUGAUCGGCCACACUGGAACUAGGACACGGUCCAGACUCCUACGGGAGGCAGCAGUGGGGAAUCUUCCGCAAUGGGCGAAAGCCUGACGGAGCAACGCCGCGUGAGUGAUGAAGGUCUUCGGAUCGUAAAGCUCUGUUAUCAGGGAAGAACAUAUGUGUAAGUAACUGUGGACAUCUUGACGGUACCUAAACAGAAAGCCACGGCUAACUACGUG